CUUUGUGAAUGCAUAUAUUAUCAUAUUAGCCGGGCAAGAUAUAAAAAGGCUAAGCAACGAAUCCGUCAUUGUUCAGCAAAGCGGUGGAGAUUUAAAACCGAUCUUGAUACUACGAAAGUUAAGAUGAAGUAUUGUUUUGUCUGUGCAAUGCUGACUUUGAUGGCAGUGAUGAACUUGGCCAGUUCAAGUUCCUUGGUUGAUAAUAAAAGAUAUCUUCUUGGAAACGGAAACCGCUGUAUGCAAGGAAGUAUAUGUAUUAGCCAAUGUGGUGGUGGGACGACCUGGAACGGAAUUGUAUUUUGCUGUCCCCAUUCCUGUUAUACAUUUGAUUCGAUUUCAAUCACAUCGUCUGGUAUUAUUUGCACAUGUUCAUAAGUCUUCAGUCAAUUAAAGUAGUAUGAUAUA
rnacentral:lncRNA from 1 species